ACGUCCGUAGCUCAACUGGUAGAGCAGCGGUCUCCAAAACCGCAGGUUGGGGGUUCGAGUCCCUCCGGACGUG
rnacentral:tRNA from 1 species